rnacentral:rRNA from 1 species
AUUGAACGCUGGCGGCAUGCUUUACACAUGCAAGUCGAACGGCAGCGCGGGCUUCGGCCUGGCGGCGAGUGGCGAACGGGUGAGUAAUGCAUCGGAACGUGCCCAGUAGUGGGGGAUAGCCCGUCGAAAGCCGGAUUAAUACCGCAUACGACCUGAGGGUGAAAGCGGGGGACCGAAAGGCCUCGCGCUAUUGGAGCGGCCGAUGUCGGAUUAGCUAGUUGGUGGGGUAAAGGCUUACCAAGGCGACGAUCCGUAGCUGGUCUGAGAGGACGACCAGCCACACUGGGACUGAGACACGGCCCAGACUCCUACGGGAGGUAGCAGUGGGGAAUUUUGGACAAUGGGGGCAACCCUGAUCCAGCCAUGCCGCGUGCGGGAAGAAGGCCUUCGGGUUGUAAACCGCUUUUGUUCGGGAAGAAAUCCUCUGGGCUAAUACCCCGGGGGGAUGACGGUACCGGAAGAAUAAGCACCGGCUAACUACGUG